rnacentral:rRNA from 1 species
GAAAUAAUUUGAAAAUUUAUAGUGAAUUAAGUAUUGUGAAAGAAUUUUGAAAUAUUUUAAAUAAUAAAUUAUUUAAAAGUAAUUUUUGUUUGGUGUAUCUUGUGUAUCAGAGUUUAUUAAAAAAUAUUUUUAGAGUUUAAUAAUUCUCGAAUUUAAGAGAGAUAAUUAAUUAAAAAAGUUAUUGUGGCAUAAAUAUUUUUAAUAAUUAAUUGGAAAUGAAAUGUUAAUCGUUCUUAAAUAUAUCUAGUUUUUUUAGAAAAAAAUUUAAUUUUAAAUUUAUUUUUAAUAUUAAUUAAUUAAUUAAUUAAUAUAAUAUUUGAAUUUUAUAAUUUAAGGGAUAAUCUUUAAAUUAAAUAAAUAUAAUUAAGUUAUUUAUUUGUUUUUGAAAAUUUUAUAAUUUAUAUUGUUAAUAAAAUUUAAUUUAUUAUAAAUAAUUUCAUUUAAAAUAAAAUUUAAUAGUAAAAUUUAUUAAUUUAUAAAAAAAAAAAUUUUAAAUUAUUUAAAAUUAGUUAUAAUGAUAAAAUUAGUAUAUAAUGUUAAUUGUUUAAUAAAUUAAGGAUUAAAAUUUAAUUAAUUAAAAGGAAUUCGGCAAAAAUUUAUAUUCACUUGUUUAUCAAAAACAUGUCUUUUUGAAAAUAAUUUAAAGUCUAAUCUGCCCACUGAUUUUAAAUUAAAGGGCUGCAGUAUUUUGACUGUACAAAGGUAGCAUAAUCAUUAGUCAUUUAAUUGAUGACUUGUAUGAAAGAUUGGAUGAAAUAUAAUCUGUCUCUUGAUUAAAUUAUAGAAUUUAAUUUUUUAAUUAAAAAGUUAAAAUAAAUUAAAAAGACGAGAAGACCCUAUAGAGUUUUAUAAUUAUUUUAAUUUUAAUUAUUUAUAAAAUUAAAAAUUUAAAUUUAAGUAAUUAUUUUAUUGGGGUGAUGGAAAAAUAUAUUUAACUUUUUUUUUUUAUAUACAUAAAUAAGUGAGAAAAUGAUCCAAUUUUAUUGAUUAUAAGAAAAAAUUACCUUAGGGAUAACAGCGUAAUUUUUUUUUUUAGUUCAAAUAAAAAAAAGAGUUUGCGACCUCGAUGUUGGAUUAAGAUAAAAUUUAAAUGCAGAAGUUUAAAAUUUUGAUCUGUUCGAUCAUUAAAAUCUUACAUGAUCUGAGUUCAAACCGGUGUGAGCCAGGUUGGUUUCUAUCUUUUAAUAAUAUAAAUAUUUUAGUACGAAAGGAUUAAAUAUUUAAAUUAAAUUUUGAUUGUUUUUGAAUUUUAUUA